ensembl:snoRNA
AUACCUACUUAAAAUUUGCCAACUGAACUCAUGUUAUCUAUUGGCCAUUCAAGAGGGAAAAAGAAAAUGCCCUUCAAAAACCAGAGCAAACUUAGUGUUUGUGUUGUAACCUGUCAGGAAAUAUUC